UCAGAAUCGCUGCCGUCCCACUACAGGGCUU
rnacentral:piRNA from 1 species